GUCCAACGAUUCCUCAAAAUUGGAAGAAGACUCGUUUUCAUCUGAAACAUUUGCUAAAUUUGCACUGUCAAGCAACAUUUCAUGUAGGUUAACUCUACAAUUAUCAUUUGAUUGUUUGUCCUUAUUUCCAUCAUCAAAGUCGAGAUUUCUUUCAAGGCAGAGUCUAUAUUCAGCAUUACGCAAUGUGUACCCGGUCAUUAUUGAAGAAACUAAUAACUUAGAUACUGGUUCCCAUAAAGCCUCAACUAAAACUUGAAACUGGU
rnacentral:misc_RNA from 1 species